rnacentral:misc_RNA from 1 species
CCCAAGGCCAUAAGCCUAGGCCUAGCCCCUAGGUAUUUUCUUUCCAUGCUAAACGACCCUGCAGCAUAGUCCACACAACAAUAACAAGGGCUUCAACUCCGGCAGCGAGUGCUGGUAAAGCUUUCGCACAAAACCGAAGUCUCAAAAUUUUGUUUGGCUGCUGUGAAAGUGAGGGAAAGCGAGUGAAAAUGAGCGGAACCAUAAAGAAGGUGACAGAUGUGGCAUUUAAAGCAUCAAAGA